rnacentral:rRNA from 1 species
UACGUAGGGCGCAAGCGUUGUCCGGAAUUAUUGGGCGUAAAGAGCUCGUAGGCGGUCUGUCGCGUCUGUUGUGAAAACUCGAGGCUCAACCUCGGGCUUGCAGUGGAUACGGGCAGACUAGAGUGCGGUAGGGGAGACUGGAAUUCCUGGUGUAGCGGUGGAAUGCGCAGAUAUCAGGAGGAACACCGAUGGCGAAGGCAGGUCUCUGGGCCGCAACUGACGCUGAGGUGCGAAAGCGUGGGGAGCGAACGGG